rnacentral:rRNA from 1 species
GAGUUUGAUCCUGGCUCACAACGAACGCUGGCGGCAGGCCUAACACAUGCAAGUCGAGCGCGCCUUUCGGGGUGAGCGGCGGACGGGUUAGUAACGCGUGGGAAUAUGCCCUUUGGUACGGAAUAGCCUCUGGAAACGGAGAGUAAUACCGUAUGCGCCCUUCGGGGGAAAGAUUUAUCGCCAAAGGAUUAGCCCGCGUUAGAUUAGGUAGUUGGUGGGGUAAUGGCCUACCAAGCCUACGAUCUAUAGCUGGUUUUAGAGGAUGAUCAGCAACACUGGGACUGAGACACGGCCCAGACUCCUACGGGAGGCAGCAGUGGGGAAUCUUGGACAAUGGGGGCAACCCUGAUCCAGCCAUGCCGCGUGAGUGAUGAAGGCCUUAGGGUCGUAAAGCUCUUUCGCCUGUGAAGAUAAUGACGGUAGCAGGUAAAGAAACCCCGGCUAACUCCGUGCCAGCAGCCGCGGUAAUACGGAGGGGGUUAGCGUUGUUCGGAAUUACUGGGCGUAAAGCGCACGUAGGCGGAUCGGAAAGUUGGGGGUGAAAUCCCGGGGCUCAACCCCGGAACUGCCUCCAAAACUAUCGGUCUAGAGUUCGAGAGAGGUGAGUGGAAUUCCGAGUGUAGAGGUGAAAUUCGUAGAUAUUCGGAGGAACACCAGUGGCGAAGGCGGCUCACUGGCUCGAUACUGACGCUGAGGUGCGAAAGUGUGGGGAGCAAACAGGAUUAGAUACCCUGGUAGUC